UUUACUUUAGUGUAUGGAGCACAUAAAAUUUUGAUUUUUAAAGUAGACUACUAAGUAAUU
rnacentral:tRNA from 1 species